rnacentral:rRNA from 1 species
UGGGGAAUUUUGGACAAUGGGGGAAACCCUGAUCCAGCCAUCCCGCGUGUGCGAUGAAGGCCUUCGGGUUGUAAAGCACUUUUGGCAGGAAAGAAACGUCAUGGGUUAAUACCCCGUGAAACUGACGGUACCUGCAGAAUAAGCACCGGCUAACUACGUGCCAGCAGCCGCGGUAAUACGUAGGGUGCAAGAGUUAAUCGGAAUUACUGGGCGUAAAGCGUGCGCAGGCGGUUCGGAAAGAAAGAUGUGAAAUCCCAGAGCUCAACUUUGGAACUGCAUUUUUAACUACCGGGCUAGAGUGUGUCAGAGGGAGGUGGAAUUCCGCGUGUGGCAGUGAAAUGCGUAGAUAUGCGGAGGAACACCGAUGGCGAAGGCAGCCUCCUGGGAUAACACUGACGCUCAUGCACGAAAGCGUGGGGAGCAAACAGG